rnacentral:rRNA from 1 species
AGGACGAACGCUGGCGGCGUGCCUAACACAUGCAAGUUGAGCGACGAACCAGGGCUUGCCCUGGGGCAAAGCAGCGAACGGGUGAGUAACACGUGGAUAACGUACCCCGAUAACCGGGACAACUCGAGGAAACUCGAGCUAAUACCGGAUGUGCCCAUCACACACCAGUGUGAUGUGUAAAGGAAGCUUCGGCCUCCGUAUUGGGAGCGGUCCGCGGCCCAUUAGCUAGUUGGUGAGGUAACGGCUCACCAAGGCAACGAUGGGUAGCUGGUCUGAGAGGACGAUCAGCCACACUGGGACUGAGACACGGCCAGACUCCUACGGGAGGCAGCAGUGGGAAUCUUAGCGCAAUGCGACGAAAGCGUGACGCAGCAACGCCGCGGUACGGGGGAAGAAGGUUUCGGAUUCGUAAACCCCUUUGAAGGAAGGACGAAGGUUCGCGGUAGAAGUACGGCCGACCGGAC